UACGGGGGGAGCAAGCGUUGUUCGGAUUUACUGGGCGUAAAGGGCGCGUAGGCGGCGCGACAAGUCACUUGUGAAAUCUCUGGGCUCAACCCAGAACGGUCAAGUGAUACUGUCGUGCUAGAGUGCGGAAGGGGCAACUGGAAUUCUUGGUGUAGCGGUGAAAUGCGUAGAUAUCAAGAGGAACACCUGCGGCGAAGGCGGCUUUCUGGUCUGUAACUGACGCUGAGGCGCGAAAGCGUGGGGAGCAAACAGG
rnacentral:rRNA from 1 species